CUGUAUAAUCACCUAUCUAUCGGUCAAACAAAAAAUGGGAUGCACCCAUCUCACAAAAAAGCAAAAACUAAAUCUUGAAGAACCAUAUAGAUGCAACACGCCUCGGCACCAAACAAAGGGCUAAACAAAUCCACAAUGGUAUCAAUCUCUCAGACUCUCACAAAUUUGGUUUCCCAUAGCAAGCUUGUGCACUGUGUUGAAAAAAAUUGUGUUGAAACAGGAGCAUUUUCUGUGACACAUGAACAUAAAUAAGCAUUUGAAUAAUAUAUUUGAGUUUGAAAGCAAAUAAAAAAAAUUCAAAAUAAGGAAGAAAGAAAGAGGUAAAAAAUAAAUGGCUGAGUGAAAUUAAAAUUGAGGAAGAAAAAGGAAACUGAAGUGGAGCGAGAUUAAAAUCUUGAAAUUGCAAUUGUUGUUUGUUGCUGAUAUGAUUUGAUCGAAGAAGGGAAGAAAGGUAUUAUUAUCAAUUUCGUUUAGCAACGUGGUCGAAGAGGUUUGUUUAAUUAACACUUAAGUACCAAUUACUACAAUAAACUCAAACUCAUUACAGGAUAAUUAUUGUUCUUCUUCUUCUUCACAGUUUUCUGGGUUUUUGGUUUGAAACAAGAUGGCGGUGAUGGGCAUAUGAGGCACAGAGAAAGAGAGAGAUAGAAAAUGUAUAAGAUGUUGGUGGUGUAUCGUAACAUCCAUAGAAUCUCACAAUCGAACGGAUAAUAUUACUUUCCCACCAUGGGAGACCUAGGGCCC
rnacentral:lncRNA from 1 species